rnacentral:rRNA from 1 species
UGGGGAAUCUUGCACAAUGGGGGCAACCCUGAUGCAGCGACGCCGCGUGAGCGAUGAAGCCCUUCGGGGCGUAAAGCUCUUUCGACCGGAACGAUAAUGACGGUACCGGGAGAAGAAGCUGCGGCUAACUACGUGCCAGCAGCCGCGGUAAUACGUAGGCAGCAAGCGUUGUUCGGAGUUACUGGGCGUAAAGAGUGCGUAGGCGGUUUUCUAAGUUCGGUGUGAAAUCUCCCGGCUUAACUGGGAGGGUGCGCCGAAGACUGGGAAGCUGGAGUGUUGGAAAGGCAGGCGGAAUUCCUGGUGUAGCGGCGAAAUGCGUAGAUAUCAGGAGGAACACCGGCGGUGUAGACGGCUUGCUAGACCAUAACUGACGCUGAGGCACGAAAGCGUGGGUAGCAAACA